rnacentral:lncRNA from 1 species
CUUGGGAUGGUGGUUUAGUCCCUGGGAGCUCUGGUGGGGGUCUGGUUGGUUGAUUUUGUUGUUCUUUUUAUGGGGUUGCAAACCCCUUCAGUUACUUCAGUCCUUUCUCUAACUCCUCCAUUGGGGACCAUGUUCUAGGUCCAACGGUUGGCUGCCAGCAUCCGCCUCUGUAUUUGUCAGGAUUUGGCAGAGCCUCUCAGGAGACAACUAUAUCAGGCUCCCGUCAGCAUGCACUUCUUGGCAUCAGCAAUAGUGUCUGGGUUUGGUGUCUGCAUAUGGGAUGGAUCCCCUAAGUGGGGCAGUCUCUGGAUGGCCUUUCCUUCAGUCUCUGCUCCAAACUUUGUCUGUGUAUUUCCUCCUGUGAAUAUUUUUGUUUCCUGGUCUAAGAAGGUCUGAAGCAGCCACACUUUGGUCAUCCUUCUUCUUGGUUGCUAGUUUUACCAUUUUAUAACACAUAAAUGUAGCCUUAUUGGUCUUUGGUUCUAUGGAAUUUGGGAGUUUUUAGAAUUAAUUUCAUAAUAGUGUUUGUAUCUUUGGAAAGUUAUUUAGGUAGAGUUCAUUUGAAACCACAAGCACUGUCUUUGAACUCUGGAUGUCUAUGUGUAUGUAUAUGAUGUAUGUGUAUCUUAUAUACAUACACACACACACACACACACACACACACACACACACACACAUAUAUAUAUACAUACAUCUGAGAAUUCAGGGUUUACAUGAAUUUCGAAAGGUUGUUCUUGAUAUUUUAAUUUCAGUUCUACUUGAUCACAACUUAGUACUUUCUGGACUUCUCCGUAUUCAUUGAGUGAGUGGAUAUUGAGCUCAGCUCUCAUGAUCCAGGCAGCUUCCUUUGGUUUGCAAGCAUCCAUGAUCUGGUGCCCAGAAAAUUACCUUUCUCUUUGUUUGUAAGUGUCAGCUCCAUGUUUUCACAUUUGGUUGUUAUCUGAUAGAGCCCUGAAGAAUUUUGUUUCAUGGAGUGACCCAAAAUAUUUCCUUGGAAAAAGAAUCCCCAUUUCCUUCCCCAACACAAAGAAGUUUCUUGGAGGAGGUAUCCAGUGACUACUUCAGGGAUGGCAUCUAUUGACAAAUAAGCUUCCCUCUUCAGGCAUAAAUGCUAAUAUUUGAAUCUUUUCAAUUUCUGGUCAGUUUUUUGAUUUCUGAAUUUAAAACUUGAGAUUGUCUGGAAGGUAAUCUUAGUAUAUGUGGAUGCAUAGUCCUCUGUCCUGUACUUAAAAAAGAAGAGAUGGCCCCAUGGAAAUACAGGGUUGAGUUCCUUUCUGUGGUCUCAAUGCAUCAUGGGAAUGUAUGGGUACUGUGUGAGGGAGCCAAUGUGUCACGUGAUAGAUCUUAGUUCAUGGCUAACAAAUACUGUUUUACUAGCCAUAGUGUGGUUUGAAUAUUCUUUAUCUGGAGUGGUUGAAGAGUGUUUCAUAUUUGUGAUUUAAAAUUAUGUUUUCAUAUAUGUUGAGAUGACUGGAUAAUGGGAUCCAAGUCCAAACACAAAGUUGUUAGUGUUCACGUCCAUCUUGCAUACAUAGCCUGGAGGUAUGUUGUCCAAAGUUCUCUGGGCAUCUAUAUUGUCCCUGUAACACAUCACCUGGCCUCAGGGGAGGUAUCUUCCUCUGGUGCCAUCAGGUCAGGGUUCGGGUUUUAGCUGGGCAUGGUGGUACACCCCUUUAAUCCCAGCAUCUGGUGCCAUCAGGUCAGGGUUCGGGUUUUAGCUGGGCAUGGUGGUACACCCCUUUAAUCCCAGCAUCUGGUGCCAUCAGGUCAGGGUUCGGGUUUUAGCUGGGCAUGGUGGUACACCCCUUUAAUCCCAGCAUUUGCUUUGAUCUCUGAGUUUAAAACAAGCCUGUUCCGUGGGAGUCUCACAAUGAGACUCUAUCUAAAAAGGGAGGUGCAGGGAGGAGGGCUAGGUUUUUUAAUUAUUUGAAUUAGGAAGACUUAUCCUGUAUUUAAAAAAAAAUUAGUCCUUAUUAGUCAGGGAGCUGGAGCCCACCCCCUUAAACUUUCAAUAGGAACAAUAAUUCCCACAUCUCGGCAACUCUCCACAAUGUCAGUGCCCAGUUUGAAAUACUCCUACUGCCAUCCCUGUGUCAGAGGGACCAGAGGAACAUCAGAGGCUCAAGAAUUGUGUAAAACACCUGUGUUACAUAAAAGAAAUAAAUUGUUUUAAAUAAGUGAUACAGAGACUCUCGGGGGAUUCAUGAUUUGGUUGCUGCUUGGUCUGGGUCUCAGACAUUGCAACCUCUGUAUCAUCACCCAACUCUGAGCACUUGUGGGUGUGGCUCUGGGGUGAACCGGGCCGAUGAGGAACACUGGGGUAGCAUCUCAGGCCCUCAUGCUUUUCUGAGCUCUUAUUUUACCUAUUAGGAUCCAUGCAUGAAGCCUAACCUGCUCUAUGGAUAGCUCCCCGAUUGGGCUUUAUUAUUGUUGAAGCCUCUCUUUAUCUUCUGGGUUCUCAACAGGGGAAUGCCCCUUUGACAAGGUGAACGGAUCCUCUUGAAGGCCACAAGCCUAUAGUUUCCAGUGGGCAGAAAUUAAAAAAUGCUUGUGGUAAAACUGUCCCAAAGCACAAGAUACGUGUUUUGUUUUGUUUUGUUUUGUUUUGUUUUUUCUGACAUCGAGGGAAGGGACUGUCUAAAUGUCCAACGAGUUUGCCUGAAGUGAUUUUCAUCCUGACCAUGUGGACUACACAGUUCCCAGGAGGGCCAUUCAUAAAAGUCCAUUGUCUUGAAGGUCCCAUUUUUCCUAUGGAGCUUUAACUUUUGCAUAAACAAUCGAUUGCACCUUAACAGAUGAAACCUUUUUAUAAUGAGUGAGGCAACCCUAGCCACUUAAGUAGUUUUAGGGUUAGCAGAGAUGUAUUUUCUCUUGCAACUUAAUUUUCAAAAUAUACCCAAACUUGCUUGUUGUUCGUGGGCCAAUUAUGGGGUUCGGAAGGGAUGGCUCAAAAUCACAAACUUUUCUUGAAGACCUUCUAGUUUAGUAUAGUAAAAUCUCUGCUAAGAUGGGUUGGGAAAGCUCUCUUCUGAAUUGUUUAGUCAUACUUGCUUGCUAAUUCUGCUUGUUUAGAAACGCGGAAGUUAAAAGAAUUACCUUACAUCCGGGGCACUUGUUCUGUUGCUCAGAAUCGGUCUCGUUCUGCCUAUAGGCCAUACUGACAUUAGUUUAGCCUACAUAGAUGAGGAUUCCGAUAAAAUGAAGCUCACCUGAAGCUCACUUCGUCUGUGAGUGAAAAGUUAGGUCUACCAGAGGGAACAGGAGACUUCUCUUUAAAACCCUUUCUGUCUUUGGCAUGAAAUGGCCCAAUGGCAAAAUCCGUUGUUGGACUAAAUGAGCCAAGGACAAACUUCAUUGUUGGACUAAUGGUUUUAACGUUUUAUCCUCAGACAAGUCAACCCCCACACCAGAGAAGAUACUGAAGCCUGUUGCCACAAACCCGUAGAUCCGAACUUGUGCUGACCAUGCACACAAGCUUGUGUCUAUAGGGUUGUAGAAACGGAAAGAGGGCUGAAGAGGAGGGAACGGAGCUCUUGGGCCACGAUGGAUAAGGUUAUUUAAGAGACGCACUCUCAUACUGCUUCUAACUGGUCUCAGCUGUCAGGUUAGGGGGCUGGGCUGCCCAUGAGGCAGCAAGAAUUCCAGGGAUUCAGACAGCUGACUGCUGACUGUGGAGUAAAUAGGCUCACACAAAACAAGGGUUUGUUUUGUUUUCUGGGAGCCUAAUUGUUCUCAAAGUUAUGAUGAUCUUUCCCAGAAAGUGAAAAGAUUGGCUGACGCUGCCGAUCGGGUUCUGGCUGCAAUGUGGGUUGCACCUUGUAGCUAUCCUGUCCCUCAUCAUUCAGCAAGUGCAGGCCACUGGGUCCUUAACAGACAGAGGGAGAUGGACAUGUCGGUCUGCCUGUUUAUACCGCUGUAACCACUAUUGUGCGUACAAUAAGAAAACAAACAAGAAAGAAGCAAGCCCGCGCACGCACACGUGCACACACACACACACACACACACACACACACACACACACACACACACACACCAAUAGAAAAAGAUAUUCUGUUUACAUCCAAAUUCACCUCUGCCCAGAGCAGUUUUUGAAGUCUUUAUCGUGUUUAAAGGGCUGGAAUGAAAAUAAUUUUAUCCCUUUCCUUCUUAAAUGUCACCAUUGUGCCAGGAUUGGAAAGCCAAGCUGACCACAGAUCAAAGCAAAACUGACUAUAUUUGUCUCCCUCCAACAAUGUGAGCUGAAGAGUCUGUAAACAGAAGGCAGGGUGAAAAAUUGAUGGAAUCUAGACGGCUCUGGGACUUUCACAUUCGCUUUUGGUCAAAGUAUUAUAUCAAGAAUUCCCUUAACUGUUUGUUUCUGGUGAAGGCUUUCAGCAGUAGCAGGAGUUAAUAUGAAAUCCUUGUGCAUACAUUUUUGUCACCUUAUAAGAGCCACACUCUUCAGAGACAGCUAGAAGUCUUUCUCCUGUAGGAUACGUGAAGAUGUAGCCCACGGAUGUAUAGGGGGCAGAACACGGAACAUGGGGAUCUAUAAAUGCUGUUCAUGGAGGGCACACUUUUUUUUUUUUGAGGGCACACUUUCUAUGUGUGCUUUUGCUUUUGCUUUUCAUGGAGGAGUGUUGUCUGUUGUCUCUAGGGCUCAACGUUUAACCUGUCAGGAAAGCUUUCUUAUGGAAUGAUGGCAUGUUAACAGAAGAGAAAGGCUGUCCUUACUGGUGGGAGUCCCAUAGAACUGUCUGCCCUGGGCUUUUUAUCCACCCACUCUGCAAACAGUCUAUGUGGCCUGAUUUACAUGCCUCUUGGAAGUGGCUGAAGUGAAUUAAACGGUCCACUUGUUAAGCCUGCACCUCUGCUGGCCGAAUGCUUGUUCGAUACAGGGAGCAACGUCAUGCUUGCACCCGUCAUCCCCUAGUAUGUUGCAGGUGUGCUCCGGACAGGGCAGGGGAGUUGGAGCCACUGGGACCUGAGUGCUCAGUGUUGCCUAUAUAGGAACAAUAACCAGCUG